CCUACGGGAGACAGCAGUGGGGAAUAUUGGGCAAUGGGCGCAAGCCUGACCCAGCAACGCCGCGUGAAGGAAGAAGGCUUUCGGGUUGUAAACUUCUUUUGACAGGGAAGAGCAGAAGACGGUACCUGUCGAAUAAGCCACGGCUAACUACGUGCCAGCAGCCUCGGUAAUACGUAGGUGGCAAGCGUUGUCCGGAUUUACUGGGUGUAAAGGGCGUGUAGCCGGGCUGACAAGUCAGAUGUGAAAUCCGGGGGCUCAACCCCCGAACUGCAUUUGAAACUGUUGGUCUUGAGUAUCGGAGAGGUAGGCGGAAUGCCUAGUGUAGCGGUGAAAUGCGUAGAUAUUAGGAAGAACACCAGUGGCGAAGGCAGCCUGCUGGACGACAACUGACGGUGAGGCGCGAAAGCGUGGGGAGCAAACAGGAUUAGAUACCCCAGUAGUC
rnacentral:rRNA from 1 species